UGCGAGAAUGAUGAGUUGCACAUUUGGUGGAGCUGGAGUGUCAGGUGAUGCAAGCACCACUCAGAACCUCCCUGAUGACACAACAAGGUGCACAGGGGCCAUCUGACUCGCU